rnacentral:rRNA from 1 species
AUUGAACGCUGGCGGAAUGCUUUACACAUGCAAGUCGAACGGCAGCACGGGUGCUUGCACCUGGUGGCGAGUGGCGAACGGGUGAGUAAUGCGUCGGAACGUACCGAGUAAUGGGGGAUAACGCAGCGAAAGUUGUGCUAAUACCGCAUACGCCCUGAGGGGGAAAGUGGGGGACCGCAAGGCCUCACGUUAUUCGAGCGGCCGACGUCUGAUUAGCUAGUUGGUGGGGUAAAGGCCUACCAAGGCGACGAUCAGUAGCGGGUCUGAGAGGAUGAUCCGCCACACUGGGACUGAGACACGGCCCAGACUCCUACGGGAGGCAGCAGUGGGGAAUUUUGGACAAUGGGGGCAACCCUGAUCCAGCCAUUCCGCGUGAGUGAAGAAGGCCUUCGGGUUGUAAAGCUCUUUCAGCUGGAACGAAACGGUACGCGCUAACAUCGUGUGCUAAUGACGGUACCGGCAGAAGAAGCACCGGCUAACUACGUGCCAGCAGCCGCGGUAAUACGUAGGGUGCGAGCGUUAAUCGGAAUUACUGGGCGUAAAGCGUGCGCAGGCGGAUUGUUAAGCAAGACGUGAAAUCCCCGGGCUUAACCUGGGAAUGGCGUUUUGAACUGGCAGUCUAGAGUGCGUCAGAGGGGGGUGGAAUUCCACGUGUAGCAGUGAAAUGCGUAGAGAUGUAGGAACACCGAUGGCGAAGGCAGCCCCCUGGGAUGACACUGACGCUCAUGUACGAAAGCGUGGGUAGCAAACAGGAUUAGAUACCCUGGUAGUCCACGCCCUAAACGAUGUCAACUGGUUGUUGGGGGAGUGAAAUCCCUUAGUAACGAAGCUAACGCGUGAAGUGACC